GACGAACGCUGGCGGCGUGCUUAACACAUGCAAGUCGAACGAUGAAAGGGAGCUUGCUCCCUGGAUUAGUGGCGAACGGGUGAGUAACACGUGAGUAACCUGCCCUUGACUCUGGGAUAAGCGUUGGAAACGACGUCUAAUACCGGAUAUGAACCGUGAAGGCAUCUUCUGCGGUUGGAAAGAAUUUCGGUCAAGGAUGGACUCGCGGCCUAUCAGCUAGUUGGUGAGGUAAUGGCUCACCAAGGCGACGACGGGUAGCCGGCCUGAGAGGGUGACCGGCCACACUGGGACUGAGACACGGCCCAG
rnacentral:rRNA from 1 species